rnacentral:lncRNA from 1 species
AACGUUGUGAUCGCCCCUCUGGGAGCUCAUGGUAACGAUGUAACGGAGACUGUAAACCCAUUACAGGUAAGCAUGAUAGCGACUAAUUCCUGCUCCUGAGAUGAACCAAAUUGGUAGGUUAAUUGCGUGAGAGUGUCUCGUUUGUUUAAGCUACAUAGGUAGAUCAACUUCUAAUCUAUCGUGUCUAUACAGGGGCAUGCAUUGACACAAUUUGCAAGGGUAGGGCCUGCGAUGUACCAUGAUUGCGUGGGCUCUGCUUUAGGGGCUACUUUGAGAGGAAAGGCGGCGCUGGUUUCGUUGUCGCAGUUCCUUUCAGGCUGGGGUACCGAGUGUUUGUUAUCAGAUGGGCCAGUUAAUAGUGGGCCUCUGUGUCUCUGCACCCUGGCACACAUCAUGUUUCAACCAUGGAAGAACUCUGUGUUCUCCCUCUCAGCCGACAAUCGCUUCUGGCCCAGCCCUCCCUUGCCUUCUUUCAGAGGCUUGCAUUGGAGCGAAAUGGGACCUCUCGUUCUCUCGAAGUCUCAUCACAGUCGUAAAAACUCAGAAUCUAUCAGUCUACCGAUGAGCAACCCCCGGUACUUUCGGACAUCCAUGGACAGCAUGUCGAUGCGCGAUUAUAGAGCAUUGUCCGACAACCCAUCCGGAUAUUCUGCAAAUGCUUCAUGGGGGACAACUUACGGUGAGCCUGGUCGA